CUCCGAAAUAGCAGCUAUAACUUCUGACGCUUGGACUUUGCUGAUUUUUCCAUUUUUCCUACUAAACAUAAUUGUGAAUUGAAAACACCCUAUUUUUAACAGCUUCCCGCAAUGUUUGCCCAUUUACAUGCUCCUGCAUAGGAACGAACCCUAAGAAAUCCGCAUGAGUAGCCAAAUUGUCGCGCAUUGUUUUUAAAUAAAUUAUUAAUUGAUUUGUGCUACUUACAUAUAUCAGUACUCUUAUCUAAGCUAAUAGAAAAAAAAAAACAUUCUUGAAAGCGUUUUUGCACAACCGUAAAUUCCCGUACGGCGAUUAAUAGUUGUGGCAGAUAAUGCAACAACAUAAGAAGUUGUUUAUAUUUGGAGCUCAUUAAAUUUUUUUUCAAUGUGAUCUGACUGUUUUAACAAGUUAAUGCCAAUCGCUUUCGUUUGAUCAAUAAAUUUUUACAUUUUUCAAAAUACAUAUGGCAUGAUAAGUAAUGUCGCCUUAUGUUUGUGGCACUUUGCUAAUUGUUUCCAACAAAUAUAGUAUUGCGGCUCUCUUAAAUCGUUUCAAAGAAAAAAACAUGAGCUCCCAUGAAUCAUCAAAGAUUGAUUUCUGCAAAACGAACGCGCUACUGUUGCUUUGCGUGCAUCGAGCAGAGAAGGAGUGCUGCGGAUGAACGUCGCUUUCGUGUACGCUUGAAUUGCCGAUCAUAUCUGUCUGCCUGACAAUGUCCUAGGAUUUCGGUGUUGCUGGGAAACUCUUGAUAUAUUCGAAUGGACCGCAUAGUAAUAGAACAUCUGCUGAGGAGGGGAUAUUACGAAACUGCUGAAUGCCUUGCACGCAAAUCUGAUAUCCGUAGUCUUACCAAUUUAG